rnacentral:rRNA from 1 species
GACGAACGCUGGCGGCGUGCUUAACACAUGCAAGUCGAACGGAAAGGCCCCUUUGGGGGUGCUCGAGUGGCGAACGGGUGAGUAACACGUGAGUAACCUGCCCUUGACUUCGGGUUAACUUCAGGAAACUGGGGCUAAUACCGGAUAGGAAUCCUUGCUGCAUGGUGGGGGUUGGAAAGCUUCGGCGGUUUUGGAUGGACUCGCGGCUUAUCAGCUUGUUGGUGGGGUAGUGGCUUACCAAGGCUUUGACGGGUAGCCGGCCUGAGAGGGCGACCGGCCACAUUGGGACUGAGAUACGGCCCAGACUCCUACGGGAGGCAGCAGUGGGGAAUAUUGCACAAUGGGCGGAAGCCUGAUGCAGCAACGCCGCGGGCGGGAUGACGGCCUUCGGGUUGUAAACCGCUUUCAGCAGGGGCGAAGCUUGUGGUGACGGUACCUGCAGAAGAAGCACCGGCUAACUACGUG